rnacentral:rRNA from 1 species
CGGACGGGGUUUAACGCGUGCGAAUCUACCUUUAGGACGGGGACAACAAUUGGAAACGAUUGCUAAUACCCGAUAUGCCCUUCGGGGUGAAAAGUUUUUUCGCCUAGAGAUGAGCUCGCGUCCGAUUAGCUAGUAGGUAGUGUAAUGGACUACCUAGGCGAUGAUCGGUAGCUGGUUUGAGAGGACAAUCAGCCACACUGGGACUGAGACACGGCCCAGACUCCUACGGGAGGCAGCAGUGGGGAAUUUUCCGCAAUGGGCGCAAGCCUGACGGAGCAAUACCGCGUGGGGGAGGAAGGUCUGUGGAUUGUAAACCCCUUUUCUCAGGGAAGAAGCUCUGACGGUACCUGAGGAAUCAGCAUCGGCUAACUCCGUGCCAGCAGCCGCGGUAAUACGGAGGAUGCAAGCGUUAUCCGGAAUUAUUGGGCGUAAAGCGUCCGCAGGCGGCUAGAUAAGUCUGCUUUCAAAGAGUGGGGCUCAACCCCAUAGGGGGAGUGGAAACUGUUUAGCUAGAGUAUGGUAGGGGCAGAGGGAAUUCCCAGUGUAGCGGUGAAAUGCGUAGAUAUUGGGAAGAACACCAGUGGCGAAGGCGCUCUGCUGGACCGAGACUGACGCUGAGGGACGAAAGCUAGGGGAGCGAAAGGGAUUAGAUACCCCCUGUAGUCCUAGC